AUGUCCAUUAUCCUGUUCUUGUUUGCCUUGGCGACCAUUCCAAGAUGGGCCUUUUCAGAUGUUCAGCUGGUGUCAUCUGGGCCAGGAACACUGAGACCUGGAGAGAACCUCAAUCUGGUCUGCAAAGUGACAGGUGUCUCCAUCUCUAGUAGCAGCUAUACUUGGAACUGGAUCCGUCAGCCUCCUGGGAAAGGUCUGGAAUGGGUUGCAUACAUAUACCCAUAUAAUGGGAACAAAAACUUCGCCUCUUCUCUCCAGAGUCGUGCCACCAUUUCUGCAGACACCUCCAAGAACCAGUUCUCCCUCCAGCUGAACUCCGUGACUGCUGCCGACUCUGCAGUUUAUUUCUGUGCUCGAUGGUCACAGUGAAACAAAGUCCAUUGGAAGCUCAUCCAAAAGAGGAACACAAUUUUCUAGUUUUAUUUCUUACCUGGACAGAACCUCCAUCUGGUCUGUAAAGUGACAGGGUUCUCUAUCACUACAUACGGUUAUGAUUGGAACUGGAUCCGUCAGCCUCCUGGGAAAGGUCUGGAAUGGGUUGGAGAAGUAUAUCCACUUGCUGGGAGCAAAAACUACGCCUCUUCUCUCCAGAGCCGUGCCACCAUUUCUGCAGACACCUCCAAGAACCAGUUCUCCCUCCAGCUGGACUCCCUGACAGCUGCCGACUCUGCAGUUUAUUUCUGUGCUCAUGAACCACAGUGA